rnacentral:rRNA from 1 species
UACGGAGGUGGCGAGCGUUACUCGGAUUCAUUGGGUGUAAAGGGCAGGUAGGCGUCCUCGCAAGUUCUGGGUGAAAUCCUAAGGCUCAACCUUAGAACUGCCCAGAAAACUGCGAGGAUUGAGGCUAAAAGAGGAGAGUAGAAUUCCCGGUGUAAGGGUGAAAUCUGUAGAUAUCGGGAGGAACACCAGUGGCGAAGGCGGCUCUCUGGUUUAGUCCUGACGCUGAGCUGCGAAAGCUAGGGGAGCAAACAGG